GUCAUGAUUUCUGGAAUGAUUCAUGGCUCAAACCUACAUGGCCCCUGGAUUGGACUGCGGCCGAUCAGGCUGUUGGUGAGGUAAUGGCCCACCAAACCUGUUACCGGUACGGGCUCUGAGAGGAGGAGCCCGGAGAUGGGCACUGAGACAAGGGCCCAGGCCCUAUGGGGCGCAGCAGGCGCGAAACCUCUGCAAUAGGCGAAAGCCUGACAGGGUUACUCUGAGUGAUUUCCGCUAAGGGAAUCUUUUGGCACCUCUAAAAAUGGUGCAGAAUAAGGGGUGGGCAAGUCUGGUGUCAGCCGCCGCGGUAAUACCAGCACCCCGAGUGGUCGGGACGAUUAUUGGGCCUAAAGCAUCCGUAGCCGGUCCUACAAGUCUUCCGUUAAAUCCAGCUGCUUAACAGAUGGGCCGCGGGAGAUACUACAGGGCUAGGAGGCGGGAGAGGCAAGCGGUACUUUAUGGGUAGGGGUAAAAUCCGCUGAUCCAUAGAAGA
rnacentral:rRNA from 1 species